rnacentral:rRNA from 1 species
AUACGUAGGGGGCAAGCGUUGUCCGGAAUUACUGGGCGUAAAGGGUGCGCAGGUGGCCUGAUAAGUCAGAUGUGAAAUACCGAUGCUUAACAUCGGGGCUGCAUUUGAAACUAUGAGGCUGGAGUGCAGGAGAGGAAAGCGGAAUUCCUAGUGUAGCGGUGAAAUGCAUAGAUAUUAGGAGGAACACCAGUGGCGAAGGCGGCUUUCUGGACUGUAACUGACACUGAGGCACGAAAGCGUGGGGAGC